ncrna:unclassified sequences TwoGGAY RNA
CUUGAAAGUCAGUUGUGAUAUUUCUUAUACUUUCCUUUAAUUCUCCAGAUAUGCGGGUACAAGGAUGUACCCGCAAGUGAGGUCGCGCCACGGAUGGCGCGUCCGAACGGUAUCGUCCGAUAACAUAUCUUAUAUGGAAAGUAUUAGAAAUAUCCAACUGGCUUUCUGG